GAUGAAGAACGUAGCGAAAUGCGAUAAGUAGUGUGAAUUGCAGAAUUCAGUGAAUCAUCGAAUCUUUGAACGCACAUUGCGCCCCUUGGUAUCCCGAGGGGCAUGCCUGUUCGAGCGUCAUUUCACCACUCAAGCCUGGCUUGGUGUUGGGCGACGUCCCCUUUGGGGACGCGCCUCGAAACGCUCGGCGGCGUGGCACCGGCUUUAAGCGUAGCAGAAUCUUUCGCUUUGGAAGUCGGGGCCCCGUCUGCCGGAAGACCUACUCGCAAGGUUGACCUCGGAUAAGGCAGGGAUACCCGCUGAACUUAAGCAUAUCAAUAAGCGGAGGA
rnacentral:misc_RNA from 1 species